rnacentral:tRNA from 1 species
GUAAAAGUGGCUGAGAAUAGGUGGUGGGUUGUAAUUCCAUUUAUAGGGUAAAAUCCCUCUUUUACAU